UCAGAGAUCCCUGACAGUGUGGAUGCAGUUCUGCUUGGGCGGAAAGAAGGAAAUGGCACAAGGCCCUGACUCAAGCCCCUCAUCAUCCCAUGCUCCUCAGCCCCUCUGUAGGUGAGGGCAUAUGGGUAGAGGGAGAAGAGGACCAACACAUCUCCCCAAGUAAGGGGCCUCUGCCUAUGCUACGUCUGACACUCACAGAUGACCUGGGCCACCGUCAUCACGGGGCCAGACGGGGAUGCUCCUGAGCAACGACGACAACCUGUGGGGUAGGGGCAGGGAUGGGGAGGAGGAGGAGACUGGCAGCUCAGACCUCUGGUGUAUACCUGGGGCCUUGGGGCGGGGGAAGGGAUGAGGACAGGAGGGGGUCCUGGGCCAAAGACUAGAUGGUCAGGCAA